rnacentral:rRNA from 1 species
UACGUAGGGUGCAAGCGUUAAUCGGAAUUACUGGGCGUAAGCGUGCGCAGGCGGUUUGUAAGUCUGUCGUGAAAUCCCCGGGCUCAACCUGGGAACUGCAUUUGUGACUGUAGAGCUGGAGUGCGGCAGAGGGGAUGGAAUUCCGCGUGUAGCAGUGAAAUGCGUAGAUAUGCGGAGGAACACCGAUGGCGAAGGCAAUCCCCUGGGCCUGCACUGACGCUCAUGCACGAAAGCGUGGGAGCAACAGG